rnacentral:rRNA from 1 species
AUGCGUCUCUUCCAAACAUAUAUAAGCUGUACUAUUUCUAUCAAUCAAUACAAGUUGAUCUUUUCAUUCAAACACGUUAUCACGCACGCUCUGCCGAGAGCACAGGAAGGCCUCGCCGACGGUGAGAUGCCUGGACUCAUCUCUUUCUUCCUCCGCCUCAUCCGUGAGGACGGCCGCCGUCGCCGUUUCACAUCCCGUGGCCAUUAUGGAGUAGGCGGGCGCCGUCGCCGCCGAUUCGGACGCCGUGGCGCUGGACAAGGCCACCAUGCCGCUAUACGCGGCCCUCGACGUGGCCUCCGCGCCCCCAGACACGGCCAUCGCGCCGCUGCUCCCGGUGACCACGCCCCAACGGUGGCCAGCCCCAGCGCGCUUCCCGCACAUGCAGGAGAAGAGAUCCCCGAGCCCAUGCUCGCGGCUCCAACGCGGAUUCCGCCUCCGCCUCCAGCGCCGACUGACGAGCCCGGCUUCUUCGUCUUUGUGUCGUUCCCGAACGGCGCCGGAGGGACGAUCCAACCGCUGGCCCGACGCCGGUCGCGCAGCCUGAAGACGUGGACGCCGGCCCGAGUCGCAGCGCCACCGAGCACCCGCACGCCUCCACCUCCGUGCUGGACGAGGCACCGUCAUCCCCGCGCGCGGUCGCCCGACCGCGCCUCCAGGACUCCGCAAGCAUGGAGGGACGUCGCCGCCUCUUCAGUCGCGCCAUCACCGCCAUCGACCGCCGUGAAAGCAGCCACUCCGGCCUUGCCUCCGAUCUGCCGAACGGCGUCCCUGCCGGCGUCGUCUACAUCUCCUCGUCCGAGGAAGAAGGAGGCACGUCGGCGACCACUUUGUGAGAAGCAGCAAUGGAGUGUGUGGGGGUGGCGGCGCACAGGAGUUGGUCGGGAGGAUUGGGAUCCCUCGAUCCCUAAUCACCAGCCAUAUAAAGGCCAGCCGACCGCCCCCACUCCACGUGCGCUUUGGGCCUGUGCCCAGAUAGUCCCUGGCUACGGGCUGAAUUGCAGAAAUUUCUCUUUCUUUCUUCUGUUUAAUCCUUUUAACAGUAGUUGUAGCAGUAAUUUAUCACUGUUUUAG